GACGAACGCUGGCGGCGUGCCUAAUACAUGCAAGUAGAACGCUGAAGAGAGGAGCUUGCUCUUCUUGGAUGAGUUGCGAACGGGUGAGUAACGCGUAGGUAACCUGCCUGGUAGCGGGGGAUAACUAUUGGAAACGAUAGCUAAUACCGCAUAAAAUUGAUUAUUGCAUGAUAAUUAAUUGAAAGAUGCAACUGCAUCACUACCAGAUGGACCUGCGUUGUAUUAGCUAGUUGGUGAGGUCACGGCUCACCAAGGCGACGAUACAUAGCCGACCUGAGAGGGUGGUCGGCCCCACUGGGAAUGAGACACGGCCCAGAAUCCUACGGGAGGCAGCAGUAGGGGAUCUUCGGCAAUGGGGGGAACCCUGACCGAGCAACGCCGCGUGAGUGAAGAAGGUUUUCGGAUCGUAAAGCUCUGUUGUAAGAGAAGAACGGGUGUGAGAGUGGAAAGUUCACACUGUGACGGUAUCUUACCAGAAAGGGACGGCUAACUACGUG
rnacentral:rRNA from 1 species